UACGUAGGGAGCAAGCGUUGUCCGGAAUUAUUGGGCGUAAAGCGCGCGCAGGCGGUUUCUUAAGUCUGAUGUGAAAGCCCACGGCUCAACCGUGGAGGGUCAUUGGAAACUGGGGAACUUGAGUGCAGAAGAGAAAAGCGGAAUUCCACGUGUAGCGGUGAAAUGCGUAGAGAUGUGGAGGAACACCAGUGGCGAAGGCGGCUUUUUGGUCUGUAACUGACGCUGAGGCGCGAAAGCGUGGGGAGCAAACAGG
rnacentral:rRNA from 1 species